CGAUUUCCGUAGGUGAACCUGCGGAAGGAUCAUUACUGAUUUGCUUAAUUGCACCACAUGUGUUUUUUAUUGAACAAAUUUCUUUGGUGGCGGGAGCAAUCCUACCGCCAGAGGUUAUAACUAAACCAAACUUUUUAUUUACAGUCAAACUUGAUUUAUUAUUACAAUAGUCAAAACUUUCAACAACGGAUCUCUUGGUUCUCGCAUCGAUGAAGAACGCAGCGAAAUGCGAUACGUAAUAUGAAUUGCAGAUAUUCGUGAAUCAUCGAAUCUUUGAACGCACAUUGCGCCCUUUGGUAUUCCAAAGGGCAUGCCUGUUUGAGCGUCAUUUCUCCCUCAAACCCCCGGGUUUGGUGUUGAGCAAUACGCUAGGUUUGUUUGGAAGAAUUUAACGUGGAAACUUAUUUUAAGCGACUUAGGUUUAUCCAAAACGCUUAUUUUGCUAGUGGCCACCACAAUUUAUUUCAUAACUUUGACCUCAAAUCAGGUAGGACUACCCGCUGAACUUAAGCAUAUCAAUAAGCGGAGG
rnacentral:rRNA from 1 species